rnacentral:rRNA from 1 species
CCUACGGGAGGCAGCAGUGAGGAAUAUUGGUCAAUGGACGAGAGUCUGAACCAGCCAAGUAGCGUGAAGGAUGACUGCCCUAUGGGUUGUAAACUUCUUUUAUAUGGGAAUAAAAUGUUCCACGUGUGGGAUUUUGUAUGUACCAUAUGAAUAAGGAUCGGCUAACUCCGUGCCAGCAGCCGCGGUAAUACGGAGGAUCCGAGCGUUAUCCGGAUUUAUUGGGUUUAAAGGGAGCGUAGAUGGAUUGUUAAGUCAGUUGUGAAAGUUUGCGGCUCAACCGUAAAAUUGCAGUUGAGACUGGCAGUCUUGAGUACAGUAGAGGUAGGCGGAAUUCGUGGUGUAGCGGUGAAAUGCUUAGAUAUCACGAAGAACUCCGAUUGCGAAGGCAGUUCACUGAACUGCAACUGACACUGAGGCUCGAAAGUGUGGGUAUCAAACAGGAUUAGAUACCCGUGUAGUC